AUUGAACGCUGGCGGCAGGCCUAACACAUGCAAGUCGAGCGGAUGAAGGGAGCUUGCUCCUGGAUUCAGCGGCGGACGGGUGAGUAAUGCCUAGGAAUCUGCCUGGUAGUGGGGGAUAACGUCCGGAAACGGGCGCUAAUACCGCAUACGUCCUGAGGGAGAAAGUGGGGGAUCUUCGGACCUCACGCUAUCAGAUGAGCCUAGGUCGGAUUAGCUAGUUGGUGGGGUAAAGGCCUACCAAGGCGACGAUCCGUAACUGGUCUGAGAGGAUGAUCAGUCACACUGGAACUGAGACACGGUCCAGACUCCUACGGGAGGCAGCAGUGGGGAAUAUUGGACAAUGGGCGAAAGCCUGAUCCAGCCAUGCCGCGUGUGUGAAGAAGGUCUUCGGAUUGUAAAGCACUUUAAGUUGGGAGGAAGGGCAGUAAGUUAAUAUCUGGCUGUUUUGACGUUACCAACAGAAUAAGCACCGGCUAACUUCGUG
rnacentral:rRNA from 1 species